CAACCCUCUUGGCAUUUAUUUCAGGUAUUCAAAUUGAAAAAAAUAAGACGCAGCCAUUCGGGCUUUUAAUAUUUUCUUUUAAUAGAAAAAUUGAAUAUCUUUCAUAAAAUAUACAUAUUCUUAUUGAACUACACAUUUUGUUCAAGUAGUACCGUGUAGAAAGAAUUCAUUAGAAGCAAAAUGUUGAACAAAAGUUGUAUCGUGGGAUGUCCUCUGUAUGCAUUCCCUCCGAUGGGAGAAAUUACCAGGAAGACGUCUCCUGCGACAGAAGUACAUCAGCUGAUGCACCUCCAGGGGCGGCACGUUGGCGUUGUCCCCCGACAAAUAUGCCGCAGCAAAGAUGAUACUGGAUAAAUGAAAUACAUUUUGAAGUUUUGCAAUAUACACGGAUUGUUUAGUUAUCUCUUCUAAAUAAAUUAUAGUGUUGUCCAGUUAACAAUAGUCAAAAGGCACG